GACGUAGGGCGCGAGCGUUGUCCGGGUUUAUUGGGCGUAAAGAGCUCGUAGGCGGCUUGUCGCGUCGUUCGUGAAAACCUGCAGCUCAACUGCAGGCUUGCGGUCGAUACGGGCAGGCUAGAGUUCGGUAGGGGAGACUGGAAUUCCUGGUGUAGCGGUGAAAUGCGCAGAUAUCAGGAGGAACACCGGUGGCGAAGGCGGGUCUCUGGGCCGAUACUGACGCUGAGGAGCGAAAGCGUGGGGAGCGAACAGG
rnacentral:rRNA from 1 species